rnacentral:lncRNA from 1 species
AAAGCUUCUCUAGACUCCCUGUUUUCCUGUGUAUUUUUUUCACAACUCCCAAUAGUGCUGGCUGGGACCAGCGCAUCCAUUCAGGUGGCAUCGUAUUUAACCCAGGAGAACAGCUGAAGAGACACAGGGCAAGACUCCUCUGAAAAGCACCAGAGCAAAAAGAUGUUGGAAAGAGUUCAGCAAUCCUAUUGGCAGUGUUUGCAAUCAGGUGCCAGAUGGUGGUGCUCCUGACUCCGCAUUACUUAGAGGCGCGAGCUGCCUGAGAGGAGUUACAGAUGCAGUGUGCGUACCAAAACUGAUUUUGCAGGGAGGGCUAAGAGACGUCUCUGCAAUGAAGAAGUAAUUUGGACAUGAAGAGCAAGACCCAAAGCUCCACAUUUUUUUGGGUGCCGAAAUUCUCAGAGAUUUUGAUAGAGGUCGAACUGCCCAAGUAGGCAUUGAGAAUUUUGUCAAUACAUGUGUGAAGCUGGACAGCUAAGUGCCUGAACAGUUUUACAAAAGAAAUAAACACUUUUCCUUCAUGAA